UUACUUACCUGGACGGGGUCGACGGGCGAUCAAGAAGGCCCGUGGCCUGGGUCAAUGGCCCACAUUGCACUUGGUGGGUGUGUUGGCCCAUCAUCUCCCCAAGUGGGAGAAUGAGCGUCAUAAUUUAUGAUAGAGGGGGUACGCGUUCGCGCGGCCCCUGC